UUCUUGCGCACAGUUUAGGUCCGGAUUCAGUUUUGGUCCCUGUUUUACCCUCCGAUUCACGCUUCUGUCUUACCCAAAAUCCACUGUCUUCUGAUUUUUUCUUCUACCUUUCUUCUCCACUCUCCUCGCCAUCUUCUCCUUCUCUUUUUUACCUCUCUUUGGCAUCACAACUGGACUUCGAACACCGAUCAGAAAGCAGCCUCCAUCUCACGUUUUUCGUUCCUCUCC
rnacentral:lncRNA from 1 species